UCCUAAUCAAAGUCAACUCCUAUUUAUCUAGUCUAAAGUUGCGGCUUAGUUAAGGAAACAAAAUUAGGGAAUUAAUCCCUUAUAGUGGCCGACCCUUAGCCCACAAAAUUGGGUUGUUUUCGGCCCUAUCAAAACUUAAGCCCAAAAUAAAUAAUAAAACAAGAGUUUAGGGCUUCAUUUAAAUAUAAAAUAAUUAACUUCAAGCCCAAUCUCUAAUUCUCUUCCAAAAGCAUUCAACUUGAUCCAAAAUUCUCGACUUUCAUCAUCUCCCGACAUCUGCCAUCUUCAUUCUCCAUCCACGCAAUUCCUGCGCCAAAUGCCAACGAACUUGGGCAAAAAUCAAAUAAAAACACACGAUAAAUAACUCGAAUCUAGACAACUAAAUCACACAC
rnacentral:lncRNA from 1 species